GGCGGUACGCCCUGGAACGAGUCUUAAGACAGCACGAACGAAGCCGACGCGGGGAAGUCCUGUGUGAAUCAGGCGCGGUCCCGCCACUGUGUACGAGUGCACCGAUACGUUCACUCGAAGCCAGAUCACCGCUCGGUCUCGUAGAACACGGC
rnacentral:sRNA from 17 species